AUGGCCAGGGAACCUGUGUGUUCCUUCUGCCAACAUAUUGAAACCUCCCAGCAUUUAUUUUUUGAAUGCUCUGUUGCCAGAGUGAUUUGGAGAGCUAUUGGAGUUACCCUGGGGACUGAUCUCUGUCCCAAGAACUGCUGGCAAUUUUUCGUUUGGUGCUACUCCUUCAUCCCUGAUUACGAACGUUUCUAUACAGUGGUCUUGGGCGCAGUUACCUGGUCCAUUUGGCUGGCGCGGAAUCGUGCUACCUUUGAGAAUAAGAUGAUUAAAUCUCCUUUCGAGAUUGUUUUUACGGUGGUUACCUUCCUUCUUUACUGGGCAGGGCUUCAGGCGGGAGACGACGUCAAGCAGCUCCGGGCAGGGGCGGAGAUGAUUCGCGACGGGACGAUGAUGCUGAUGCGAGCCUAUGAUGCGACUAUCAAGAUUGGAGACUAG
rnacentral:rRNA from 1 species